UGGGUAACUGGUGGACAAGGACUAUGAGGUUUAUUAAAGAGUGCACCCAUCCUGUAGAGGAAAGUCUCUGGAAAUCUUUCUCUUAUAAUUGUCAACCAACUUUUUCUGUUACCGAAGCCUUUACAAGGUAAUUGGUUAGCUACUAAUGCUAUCUUUCACACACAAACUUAAAAGAAAAAUAUUUUGGAUUGCAUGCAUCUCUUUGUUGAACAUUAUCCCAUUUAAGUCAUCAAAGUUUAAUGACUCUUGUUGUUUGCUCUGUGAUAAAAGCAAGAAUUUCUCAUAACACUGUCUGUGGGAUUUAACUCAAUGCUAGGCUGAAAGCAGAAGACAUGCAAGGCCCAGAUUCAAAGUGAUGUUUGCAACCUGACACUGAAUAUGAAACAUAGCCCAUAAACUGCAGGUGGAACUGAGAAAAGAUGCAGUCCAUGGAUGUUUAGGAACUUCUGGAGUAGCAGUCAGCAGAUUGAUGUCCAAGUGGAAACCAGUGAUGAACGGCAUACCUUAGGGGUCAAUGGCAUGGACAGUGGGAUUGAGUACCUCUUCAGCAAGUUUGAUGAUGAUGCCAAAGUGUGUGGCGUGGUUGACACACUGGAGGGAAGGGAUGCCAUCCAGAGGGACCUGGACAGGCUUUGAGCUAUGCAAACAUUGUGACGUUCAGCAAGGCCAAAUGUAAGGUCAUGCACCUGUGUCAGGGCAAUCCUGAGCAUAAAUACAGGCUAAAUAAAAGACUUGGGAGUGUUUGUUGACAAGGAGCUCAUGAUGGCACAACAACUUGCACUUGCAGAAAGCCAAACAUAUCCCUGGCUGCACCAAAAGAAGGGGGCCAGCAGGUCAGGGAAGGUGAUUCUGCUCCUCUACUCUACUCUCAUGAGGCCCCACCUGGGUCCUUAGCACAGGAAAGGCAUGGACUUGUUGGAGUGAGUCCAGAGGAGAGCCAUGAAGACGAUCAGAGGGCUGGAGCACUGCUCCUGGGAAGACAGUCUGAGAGAGCUGGGCUGUUCAACCUGGAGAAGAGAAGGCUUCAGGGUGACCUUAUAGCACAUUCCAAUACCAAAAUGGGAUUCACAAGAGAGCUAGAAAAGGUCUUUUUAUAAGGGCAUAUAAGUGAUAGGAUGAAGGGUAAUGGCUUUAAACAGAAAAAGAGUAGAGUUAGGUUAGAUAUAAGGAAGAAAUUCUUUGCUGUGAGGCUGGUGAGGCACUGGAACAAGUUGUCCAGAGAAUCUGUGUAUGCCCUGUCUCUGGGAGUGUUCAAGACCAGGUUAGAUGGGGCCAUAAGCAACCUGGUCUAGUGGAAGGUGUCCCUGCCCAUGGCAGGGAGUUGGAACUAGAUGGUCUCUAAGGUCCCUUUCAACCCAAACCAUUCCAUGAUUCUGUGAUAUGAUAGAGGCCAUGUGUUUUGCUCUUUAAAUAUCUACACAAUGUCAACUGUGAUGGUCUGUCUAUUGUAACUGAACAUUUCUAGUUGGGUUUAUAUACUAAUUUAUUGGAUUUAGUUCUAGUUGGGUUUAUGUUCUAGUCGGUUCAUGUACUGCUUGUAACUUGUGAACAAUUGAAUAAAAUGAGGCUUUUAAUUAGCUA